rnacentral:misc_RNA from 1 species
UUUCCGUAGGUGAACCUGCGGAAGGAUCAUUAAUAAGUUUGGUGCGGAGCUGCUUCGUCACUUUAGCUCCGUGCACUGUGUGUGCGCAUUCUACACUCCUUUUUACUGACUGAUGUUUGGCAAGGACUACAACUUUUAGCAAUGGAUCUCUAGGCUCUU